rnacentral:rRNA from 1 species
GACGAACGCUGGCGGCGUGCUUAACACAUGCAAGUCGAACGGAAAGGCCCUGCUUUUGUGGGGUGCUCGAGUGGCGAACGGGUGAGUAACACGUGAGUAACCUGCCCUUGACUUUGGGAUAACUUCAGGAAACGGGGGCUAAUACCGGAUAGGAGCUCCUGCUGCAUGGUGGGGGUUGGAAAGUUUCGGCGGUUGGGGAUGGACUCGCGGGUUAUCAGCUUGUUGGUGGGGUAGUGGCUUACCAAGGCUUUGACGGGUAGCCGGCCUGAGAGGGUGACCGGCCACAUUGGGACUGAGAUACGGCCCAGACUCCUACGGGAGGCAGCAGUGGGGAAUAUUGCACAAUGGGCGGAAGCCUGAUGCAGCAACGCCGCGUGCGGGAUGACGGCCUUCGGGUUGUAAACCGCUUUCGCCUGUGACGAAGCGUGAGUGACGGUAAUGGGUAAAGAAGCACCGGCUAACUACGUG